CAAUUGUCCCCAUGUGACCCAAGACAUGGAUGCACCACAGUGCCACCGGAUCUAAACACUCUUGAGCGCUACCGUACUUGUGUGUUCACACACAGACAUUUGUGGAUGAGCCUGUAUGCGCCAUGGAAGAUGCAGAGCAUUGAUGUCUUGUCGUCUAGCACUACAACACACCAACAUUUGAGAGGGAAUCACUUCUCAGGGUCUGUCAGAUUGGAGGGCCCAGCUGAUGC